rnacentral:rRNA from 1 species
UACGAAGGGGGCUAGCGUUGCUCGGAAUCACUGGGCGUAAAGGGUGCGUAGGCGGGUCUUUAAGUCAGGGGUGAAAUCCUGGAGCUCAACUCCAGAACUGCCUUGAUACUGAAGAUCUUGAGUUCGGGAGAGGUGAGUGGAACUGCGAGUGUAGAGGUGAAAUUCGUAGAUAUUCGCAAGAACACCAGUGGCGAAGGCGGCUCACUGGCCCGAUACUGACGCUGAGGCACGAAAGCGUGGGAGCAACAGGGUAUAAGCAACCCA